rnacentral:tRNA from 1 species
UGGAUCACCUCCUAACAGGGAGACAACAAAAUGUUUAAUAUUAUUAUUUUGUCACCUUAGGUCGAUCGGUAUCUCACAUUCUUAAUUUAUUAAGGAUUUCUUUUCCUAAGUUUUUUCUAGGUCACACCCAUUAUUUUUCCUGGGCCAUUAGCUCAGGUGGUUAGAGCGCACCCCUGAUAAGGGUGAGGUCCCUGGUUCAAGUCCAGGAUGGCCCAUAUCUCUAUGUUGGGGGUAUAGCUCAGUUGGUAGAGCGCCUGCUUUGCAAGCAGGAUGUCAGCGGUUCGAGUCCGCUUACCUCCACUGAUUACCACCUCUUUCAUAAUCUCGUUGAGAAGGAAAUGUUUUGAGUAGUGAUCAAUUUCUGAACGAAGCUAGCUUCCUAAUGAAAUCAUUAAGAAGCUGGACUCAUUGAAUUAAUUUCAUUGUUUUCAGAGAACCUUGACAACUGCAUAGAUUAUUUUUAAAGACAAUAAGCAUCUUUAAUGAUGCAGAUUUAUUAUUUGUGCGAAUGCAUUAAUAACAAUUCUAUUAAGCUGAUGCUUCAAUUUUUGAAGUUAUUGGUCAAGCUACAAAGGGCUCACGGAGGAUACCUAGGCACACAGAGGCGAUGAAGG